AGCGAACGCUGGCGGCGUGCCUAACACAUGCAAGUCGAACGUGAAAGGGAGCAAUCCCAAGUAAAGUGGCGUGCGGGUGAGUAACACGUAGGUAAUCUACCCCAGAAUCUGGAAUAACCGGCCGAAAGGCUGGCUAAUAUUGGCUAGAGCGACGGAAUCCGUAAUUGGGUUUUUAGGGAAAGGGAGCCUGUAAAAAGGCCUUAGUUCUGGGAUGAGCCUGCGUCCGAUCAGCUAGUUGGUGAGGUAAAAGCUUACCAAGGCAAUGACGGGUAGCUGGUCUGAAAGGACGAUCAGCCACACUGGAACUGAAACACGGUCCAGGCUCCUACGGGAGGCAGCAGUGGGGAAUCUUGCGCAAUUGACGAAAGUCUGACGCAGCAACGCCGCGUGAGUGAAGAAGGCCUUCGGGGUGUAAAGCUCUGUCGAGUGGGACAGAAAUGCUUGGAGUUCACAGCUCCAGGAACUGACGGUACCACUAAAGGAAGCACCGGCUAACUCCGUG
rnacentral:rRNA from 1 species